AUUGAACGCUGGCGGCAGGCCUAACACAUGCAAGUCGAACGAGUGGCGGACGGGUGAGUAAUGUCUUGGAAACUGCCCGAUGGCGGGGGAUAACUACUGGAAACGGUAGCUAAUACCGCAUACCAUCGGAUGUUCCCAGAUGGGAUUAGCUAGUAGGUGGGGUAAAGGCUCACCUAGGCGACGAUCCCUAGCUGGUCUGAGAGGAUGUACAGCCACACUGGAACUGAGACACGGUCCAGACUCCUACGGGAGGCAGCAGUGGGGAAUAUUGCAAAAUGGGCGAAAGCCUGAUGCAGCCAUGCCGCGGGUAUGAAGAAGGCCUUCGGGUUGUAAAGUACGUUCAGCGAGGAGGCGGUACCCGCAGAAGAAGCACCGGCUAACUCCGUGCCAGCCGCCGCGGUAAGAC
rnacentral:rRNA from 1 species